rnacentral:rRNA from 1 species
UUGAACGCUGGCGGCAGGCCUAACACAUGCAAGUCGAGCGGAUGAAGAGAGCUUGCUCUCUGAUUCAGCGGCGGACGGGUGAGUAAUGCCUAGGAAUCUGCCUGGUAGUGGGGGACAACGUUUCGAAAGGAACGCUAAUACCGCAUACGUCCUACGGGAGAAAGCAGGGGACCUUCGGGCCUUGCGCUAUCAGAUGAGCCUAGGUCGGAUUAGCUAGUUGGUGGGGUAAUGGCCCACCAAGGCGACGAUCCGUAACUGGUCUGAGAGGAUGAUCAGUCACACUGGAACUGAGACACGGUCCAGACUCCUACGGGAGGCAGCAGUGGGGAAUAUUGGACAAUGGGCGAAAGCCUGAUCCAGCCAUGCCGCGUGUGUGAAGAAGGUCUUCGGAUUGUAAAGCACUUUAAGUUGGGAGGAAGGGCAUUAACCUAAUACGUUAGUGUUUUGACGUUACCAACAGAAUAAGCACCGGCUAACUUC